CUUUAUUGGAGAGUUUGAUCCUGGCUCAGGACGAACGCUGGCGGCGUGCCUAAUACAUGCAAGUCGAGCGCUAGGG
rnacentral:rRNA from 1 species